rnacentral:rRNA from 1 species
GUAAGGAAUAUUGGUCAAUGGACGAAAGUCUGAACCAGCCAUGCCGCGUGAAGGAUGAAGGCCCUCUGGGUUGUAAACUUCUUUUAUCUGGGACGAAAAAAGGGUAUUCUUACUCACUUGACGGUACCAGAGGAAUAAGCACCGGCUAACUCCGUGCCAGCAGCCGCGGUAAUACGGAGGGUGCAAGCGUUAUCCGGCUUCACUGGGUUUAAAGGGUGCGUAGGUGGGUAUUUAAGUCAGUGGUGAAAUCUCCGAGCUUAACUCGGAAACUGCCAUUGAUACUAUUUACCUUGAAUGCCCUGGAGUUAAGCGGAAUAUGUCAUGUAGCGGUGAAAUGCUUAGAUAUGACAUAGAACACCAAUUGCGAAGGCAGCUUACUACGGGGUGAUUGACACUGAGGCACGAAAGCGUGGGGAGCAAACAGGAUUAGAAACCCCUGUAGUCC